rnacentral:lncRNA from 1 species
AGAGCUGGUCGGGGUCUGAAUUAGGUUUCUAAAAAUCUACUCUAAACUAUGGCAUCUAAUCUAAUUCCCACGUAUUAUUUAUCUAAAUGUGCAACUAACGGUUUUACAAAGUGUGUUGUUAUCUCUACCACAAAAGAGUAAUCCAACCUAGGUUCUAAUUCUAUCACUACUACUACAGAAAAGAUGAUCACUGCUAGUUAUGUGGGAACCGGUGGUGAUACAUUUCACCGCUAGUUCAUAGGAUCAAGGGGGGCGCAGAUGGGUAAAUUUACUAGUGAUGAUGAAUGUUUCCACCGCCAGUUCUACAUAUAUGAUACAACGGUAAAAAUAGUGUCAGUUCUCGCCACCAUAUCAUACACCGAGCCAACGGUGAACACAUUUAGCACCACCUAUAUUAGUAACCGAGUGCGCCACACACUUACAAACCAGCGGUAAUAAGAAGUUUCACCGCUGGUCUCAAAGUGGAAGGCUGCAGUACCCCGGUUAGAGCUGAUGAAUCAUCGUCAGUUGGCUAUAUGUAACACCCCAAAAAUUGGAUUUCAAUUAAUAGAAUUUAAUUUGAUUUAUUUAAGUAUUUUUGUGAGCAUUUAAAUUAGUAAAUAAAGAAAUUUUGUUGAGAUUAAAAUCCAACAUAGAUAUAGAAAUAUGUUUAUGCAUUCAUGCUGGAGCAUAUACAAUUUUGUGUUGUUGACUUUUGAUCUGCAUUUAAUUGCAUUAAAAAUUCUCUUCAAAAGAAAGCUUUAGAAAAUAAAAAUGGAAAAAGAAACAAUAAAAAUAAAAGGAGAAAACACCUUCGUGGGAAACUGGCCGAAGGCCUGCCCAACCCCCUCGCGGGGGCUCGGCCCAGCUCCCCUUCUUCCCCUUCCCCGCAGCCCGAGCCUCCCCCUGGCCCCUUUCUCUCGCUCGGCCCAACAGCCCCGCGGCCUAACCCCGGCCAGGCCGCACGCACGCUCUCCCCUUUUCCCCUCUCUUUGACCGACAGCUAGGACCGCCCCCUUCUCUCGCUGACCACCGGGCCCCGCGUGUCAGCCUCCUCUCCCUGCUUUCCUUCUUCCCCAGUUCGGCGCUGAGUCGGACUCUCUCUCCAGGAAGCAACGGAUCCCGGCUUUCACGCGUUUUGGCACGGAUCGAAGCCCCGGUGCCCUAUAAAGCUUUCAAAUCAACCCCGUAGACUCCCUUUUUGCAUCUAAGACGCGAAAACCAAGCCCUAGCAGCCAUCUCGUCGAAGGUUUGGAUCUCACCGAGUGAAACUCCAUCCGCCGCCGCGGCGAGCCCUCCCUGUUCCCUCUCGGGCCAAACCAGGUGCAUUGGUGAGUUCGUGGUGAGCUUCUCGUUCGCCUGGUGUUCUUCUUUCGUUGUUUGGCGCUC